ensembl:rRNA 5S_rRNA 5S ribosomal RNA
UUCAAGAACCAUACCAUCCCAGGUGCUGAUCUUAUCAGAUCUCACAAGUUAGCAGAGUCAGGCCUGGUCAAUUCUUGAAUGAGAAACUUCCCAGGAGAACCCAGUUUUUUGUGU